rnacentral:sRNA from 1 species
GGAGGCAUCGUCUCGUCCGGCAUGGAGGCACUCAACUAAAUAGCUAACUCGAGCACCGCCCAGACCAUGACGACCCCGAAUCCACCACCGGACGAUCAGCCCUCGCCAGAAGCUGCGGCCCCAAGCACAGAAUCCGACAAGCAGAGCACUGAAAGUCCCGCCGCCAAGGAUGACACCGCCGCCAAGGACAGUGGCAGCUCGAAGGACAAUGGCACGCCGAAGACUCCCAAACACCGCCGCGGCGUCUCGUCGGGCGGGACUCCGCAGACCGCUCCCCCAAUCAUCGUGACCACCACGCACGGCGGCGGCAAUCGACAGCGCUCCGCGACGCUCAAGCCUCAGCCGACGCUGCUGACCGACUUUCUGCUCGGCCGGCAGUCGCCCGCCCGCGUGGCCGCCAUGCGCCAGCAGAGGUUAGACUCGAUGGCAGUGCGUGCCGAGAUCAAAAAGGAGAUGCGCGAGGCCGCCGUCAACAGGCUGGCGCAGCCGGGCGGCGUCCGCGACCGUGUGCAAAAGUGGCAAAAGAACAACGCAGCCGCGAUGCUGGCCGGGGACCCCGAGGAUGCGGCCAGCGAGCCGACCGACGUCGCCUUCAACGUCGACGAGGAUAGCGUCACGGAGGAGGACCGGCAGCGCAUCAAAUUCAGACAGCAGCACAAGCACAGGAGGAAAAGCUCGGCUAAGCCCGUCAAGGUUGAACCCACAAGCAAGGGCGAAGGCGACGAAGAAGCCGUUGACGACACAGAACCUGCCGCUGAGCCAGCAUCCCCACCAAAGAAAAGGAUCGUUAGUGACGAACACUGGAUGAAGCGUAGGAGGAGGAGCCCGCCAGGGUCCAGGGCUAUAAGGAUGAAGGCAGGAGGCGGCCCGACACCCAUACCAAAAAACUUUCUUCAAAGAUCGGCUCCAAAUCCACCGGUGAAUAACAAGAUCGCCGCCUGGGCCGCCAAAGUCGAGCCUAUGGAAAUACCAACCAAGACCAAAAAAUACUAUUCAAAAUCCGGGGACGCAAUCGAGGUAGAGGAGGAUGAUCUCAGCAGCGCAGUCAGCAGCUCGAGAUUUACUGAAGAGGAAGGCAGCCGAGUGCGGUCAGCCGUCUCGAGGAGAUCUGAAGGUUCUAGCGCGAGAACAACAGGAAGAAGCAGCGCAAGGACGCAUGACGAUGAAGGCUCUAGCGCGAGGACAACCGGAAGAAGUAGCGCGAGGACUCUCGACGAUGAUGGUAUCCGCGUACGCCCGAUCCGUUCACAAUCCAGGAAGCCAAAGGAUAGCGAUGACCGUAUUAGAGCAACAUCCUCGUCGACGUUACCAGACGAUGGCAUCAGAGUAAGGCCAUUGCGGACAAAAGAAAGCAGAGAAGAUCGCACCCGCUCAAGGUCUAGAAAGCCAUCGGGAGAGCGGCCGCGGAGGGUCGCGAGCGCACGACGGGAUCCAUCACCUUCUACUAUAUUGCCAUCUGAGGUUGAUACACUGUCUAUUCCGGAUACUCCGACCCGGAAAUCGACUCGAAAAAGUCCGCCCAGGACCAAGAAGAGCAAGCCUCCACCUACGGAGAUCACAGAGCUCACACAGACAACGCAAACUACAGACGCCACCGAGGCGACCGGUGUGACGGAGGCGACCGGCACGUCCUACCUCACUGGAACUACGGGUACCACGGACAUGACCGGAACCACACAUACCGAGGAUCUUUCAGACGAUAGGUCUUCAAGCGAUUUCGAUAACUCGGACCUCCCGUCCACCGCACCAGCGAAAUCCCUGGCCGAUAUUCCAUUCGGAUACUCGGCAUUUAGUGAACUUGAUCUUCCCAUCCGGGGUGAUGGGGGAAAGAUGCAGAGACCAAAGGCACAGAGGUCGCCAAGUUUCAACGCCACUGCUGUAUUCAAAAAGGUAUACACCGAGGGUAGGAAGAUAAUAACUCAUACGGUCGCUCCUCCGGAGCCUCCGAAGCCGGCGAUGAACCAGCCUCCCAACAUUGAGAACUGGUUGAGCAGCACGGUUGAUCCAUUUGUCGCGUCACCAGAAGUAGAAAAGGAGGAUGUGGAGCAUGAAUGGAAAACUGCCGCAAAGAGACGGUCGGAUGCUGGCAGGCGGCGUCCCAAGGCACCGGAGAGAAGCGAUAUCUCAUCUGAGACGACAUCGAGUGUACAGGAGGAAAACCAGGAAAACAAAGACCCGAAGCCAGCUAUCACCGAGGAGGGGACACCACAAAGGGAGACGAGCCAAACUCCACCAUCCACAGGGCUGAAGCGGAGCGGAGCGACAAGAGGUAUGUCUUCGCCGUUGAAGACGGUCCCCAAACCGGCACCCAAGAAGCCGUUCCGGGAAGCCCUUAAAGAAGCAUUCCGCGGAGAGUCUGCCGGUCAUAAGAUCGCAACCAAAAGGUAUGCUAGCUUUGAAAAAGAAAAGCUACCGGAACCCGAACCCGAACACUAUGACGAGGACUCGGAAAGGGGCUAUCAUGGUACGCGCGAGUCUCGAGACCAUCGUAGGAGAUCCUCGGGCUCUCGUAGGUCACAAUCACCGAGCUCCUCUCUCACAUACGACAGCCAAUCCUCGGUGCCGCCGGCACCGCCAGCAGCUGGUCUGCCUAGAAGGUUAAAACCCCCAACAAAUGGGCUUCAUGAAUUGUCUACAAUUGUUUCCAUGGAGGACUCAAGGGGAGGACAGUCCGAAGUCGACUCCGUAGUAUCAGAAACAACAGUCACACAGGCUUCGGAUUUUACGAAAUUCACGGGCGCAUCCUCAGCAACUCGACGAAAAUCCACGCUCAAGAGGAGGCUUACGAAGCAUUCAGACUUAGUCUCGGUGCUGUCAUUACCAGAAGCCGCAGGCGUGCCAACCAGAGCACCGAGUAUAAGAGUAGCCCGGAGCUUGCGCAGAAAGACUAGCAAGCUUGAAAACGCGACUUUGGAUGACCUGCUACACGAGUUCAUUGAGGAUGAGAACUUUUACCAACGUGAACUAAGAACCAUCAUCGAUGGCGUCAUUCCUGUGCUGCUCAAGGAAGUCGUCUGCCGCGAUACCAGAAUCAUCCAAGAUCUCUUCGGUUCGGCCUUUGGCAAUGAAGGCCACGGUAGAGCUGCCCCCGAUGCCGCAGAGAAGGCGGUGGUGUCGAUGGGAGUAGCUCUAGAGAGAAUAAACAACCACCACAAGGCGAUUCCUUACACUGACCCCAACCUGGUGGCUGUAUGGUUGGAGAGGAUCGUGCCUAUUUACAGCGCCUACUAUGAUGUAUGGCGCCUCGGAUUCCAGGACUUGAUUGUCAAUCUUGCGCCAGCUGCUGGCAAGUCGGACGAGGAAGACUCGCUUGUAAACGCGCUGCCGCGCAAUGCAGAGGGCGACGUUGUUAAUGACAACGGCGACAGGGUGGAUGUGGCCCACCUGCUAAAGAGGCCCCUUAUUCGCGCCAAGUGGCUCCUCAAGCUGAGCAAGGGACUGCGCCAUGUGCUUGGCAAUGACGUUGUGCCAGACCAACUAGUAGACAAGUUCGCAGACUUGCAAGCCAAGGCGCAGCGUCGGCACCGUGAAGAGCAGGCCAGAAAGACGAACGACGAUGCCUCCAACACAGAUACGAGCCGCGCACGAGACCUGAGGACACUUCGUCCCCUGGACGGCGUCUUCAUUGACCAGACACGCGAGGUCAACUCCAAAGACGUCUUCUCACUCGACUUGGCCCACUCGAAUGGCCAACGACUCGAGUGCCAGGUCGAGCUAAUUUACAGAGACAAACUCACAGAUGCUCACGACAGAGGUGACCUUUUGAUCAGAGAAAGUGGUCCCACUGGUGUACAAUACCUGCUCUUUGCCCCCAUUUUCUGGGAGAACGUAUCGGCCCGGCGUGGUGACGGACAGGGCAAGCUCGUACUCAUGGUCCGCGGCACGCAUGGACACGAUGAAUGGUACGAGCUUCUGAACCUGGAAACCGAGUACGACGAUGCGAUUCCCGAGUGGCUUGAACUCCUCGGUACUGUUCCCCGGCCGCCUGCACCGCCUGCAGUAUCAAGUACAGAUCUCCUCCACGUUCAGGAUAUCAGACCCCCCAGGUCUGGCGAAGUUGAUGUGCCUGUUGGAGCUCAGAAGUUCAGCCGAACCCUUCCCUCAGUGCCUAGGGAGGGUUCACCACAGACCCCCAGCCGCUAUCACCACGUUCGUAACCGCAGUGUCCCAACAACUCCUACACUCGCUGGAGAUGCCACACCCAAGACUCGGUCACCCAGCGCUAGCUACUCGCCAGACUCGGAUCGGACACCAACCCAAUCCACCUACGCCCCCUCGCCCGAGUCUGACCGCGAAAGCCGCAGAAAGUCGGCAAACUCCACCCCAGUCCGUGACGAUGGUGCCCCGCCACCUCCUGUCCACAGAACAUUCACGUCCAAGAAGCCUGCGGCCGUCGAGCUCCCACCGCCCGCUCGUGUCAAGCGCCAUGGGUCAUCUCCCCUCAAGCACGAAUAUAGGCCAUCAGACGUGUCAUCAGAGUCAUCAGAAGAGGAGGAUGACUCUGAUUCGGAUGACUCAUACUCGGACUCACUCUCCUCAGGCGACGAGCUCGAGGACGAAGAGGUUCCUGAGACGGAACCUGGCAUCAGUAUUAGGAAGCCAGAGUUUAGCUUCAACCCCAACGCAUCGGUUCUGUCAGAUGACAGCAUCACACCAUCGGCCUCGGCAUCUCAAGUGGACCUUCGAGGUCCUGAUAUAAUAGACGAAUCAGUCAAGGCCGUUGCCACGAUAUCAUACUGGUCCAACAAGCGCGGCCGGUGGAAGGAGGUCCGCUCAGAUGCCUGCAAUGUCAGCAUCACCCCAGGACUGCUCGAGGUGCACCCAAUGACUGUCGACCGUCCUGUGGGCUCCGAAAUGAUGGGAAGAAUGGAUGCCGGCGCCGACGUGCCUCUCAUCGCACUGGAUCUGACACCGCUGGUCAUGAUCCGAAAGAGCACUGCGAUCGACCUCGAGAUCCGCUCGCCGGUGCGAUCUUACUCAAAACUGAGCGGCAUAGACGGCAUCAUCUUCCGCUUCCGCGCCUUGUCUCCUAUGCACCUCGAGCACUUUUACGCAGCGGUGCACCAUUCUCGUAUGAACAAUGCCAAAUUCCGUGCCCUCGAAGAGGAGGCACGGUUCAGGUCGUUUGGCCAAGGUCAAAACCAUGGCCAGCAGGCCACUAGCGCCAGCGGGAGCGGCAAGAAGUCCUGGUUCGGACGCAAGAACAGCUACCGCGCGUCGACGCGGGCGCCGAGCCAGAGCCAGCAAAGCGGUAGCGGCUCCUCGGGCAUUUCAAUAUCUGCAUCGAGCUUCCUGAAGCGACUGACGGGUGGAUCUGGCCUCGCCUUCAACAUUGACAAAUCGUCGCUGCAGCAGCAUCAGCGUGAUAGCAGGCCCGGCAGCGCGGCCGGUCCGGCGUCAAUGUACACAUCAUCCUCGUCGGGCAGAGACGGCAACACUCCACCCAGAUCACCCAGCGUCAGCAUGGCGUCGUCGCCGAACCGCGGCAUCCUGGCCUGCGGCGGGACGACGGACCUCCGGAUCAGGUGCCACCUCCUCGUAUCGGCAAACAAGUGGGAGGACAAUGGCAACUGCCUGCUAUCUAUAUCAAGGCCGCCGCCGGGGGUGCGG